ACCUGACGGAGUGAUUUCCAGGCUACGUCAAUCCCGGAAGGCGUCACGGUGAGUCGUUCUGGGGCUUAAAGGGAGGAGUUUCGUUCCUCCUGAAGAAGGAAGAACCAACCGGACUCAAACUUUUUCUUGGAGGUUUUCCAAAUCGGAGGUCAUGAUGUCAAGGCUUCUUCACCGCCUGCUGCAGUACCUGGCCCGGGUACUGGUAGUAGCCACAGGGUGCCAUUUGAUCUCUUCCAUCACCGCCAAUGACUAUAACCUCCAGUACUUCGGUGGGCACACGAGAAUUGGCAGUGCCUUCUCCGUUCGAGGGAAGGGUAUCAGCGCUGCCCAGUCCUUCAUGACCCAAACGCAGGAGAGGGAUUGUGAGUGUCGCCUGGCUUGUUGGGCGUAUGAGGGCUGCCGCUCCGCUUCGACAAAACCCUCUGGGGAGAAGUUCGAGUGUCGCCUGUCGCGCUUUUACACCCAGAACCUGACUCUCGAGGACGACCCUGAUUCUCUUUUCACAUAUU